rnacentral:lncRNA from 1 species
AGGUAAUGCUUCGAUUGCGGUACGGUUGUGUUCCAGAAAGGGAAUCAUUCCUGUUUUAGAGCCUCCCAGUAUUCUGAAUUGUAAUGAAAAUCUGGACUCUCUAGCAUUACAGGUGGAAACUGCAGACACCAGCAAUGUUUCAGCAAUUGCAAGUAAUACUCAGAUCCUUACCUCCAUUCCCAGUCGACUGACAACGGAGAACAUCUCUGCUGCUGCGAAUAUCGCAGUGCAGAUUCUAAGAAAACCAAACGUUUCAGAAGACUCUCAGGCAUCUGUGGCAGUUUUAACUACAGUGAGUCAACUCUUGGAUGCCAAUGAAACAGAAUUCAACAACAAUAAUCUUGUCAAUGUUACAGCAAGCCUCACAAAAACAAUGGAAGAAUUUUCUUUGAUGGGCAAUGUCACUCAGCCCAACGUUGCAGUCCAGUCUGUUCCACUGAAACUGAACUCCUCUACAAUUCUGUUUUUGGCACAGAGAGGUAAGCUUAGGCAUGUUGUUGAAUUUACAAGCACAAGGA